GAUGAACGCUGGCGGCGUGCCUAAUACAUGCAAGUCGAGCGAACGGACGAGACGCUUGCUUCUCUGAUGUUAGCGGCGGACGGGUGAGUAACACGUGGAUAACCUACCUAUAAGACUGGGAUAACUUCGGGAAACCGGAGCUAAUACCGGAUAAUAUUUUGAACCGCAUGGUUCAAAAGUGAAAGACGGUCUUGCUGUCACUUAUAGAUGGAUCCGCGCUGCAUUAGCUAGUUGGUAAGGUAACGGCUUACCAAGGCAACGAUGCAUAGCCGACCUGAGAGGGUGAUCGGCCACACUGGAACUGAGACACGGUCCAGACUCCUACGGGAGGCAGCAGUAGGGAAUCUUCCGCAAUGGGCGAAAGCCUGACGGAGCAACGCCGCGUGAGUGAUGAAGGUCUUCGGAUCGUAAAACUCUGUUAUUGGGGAAGAACAUAUGUGUAAGUAACUGUGCACAGCUUGACGGUACCUAAUCAGAAAGCAACGGCUAACUACGUG
rnacentral:rRNA from 1 species